CUCGUAGGCGGUUCGUCGCGUCCGGUGUGAAAGUCCAUCGCUUAACGGUGGAUCUGCGCCGGGUACGGGCGGGCUGGAGUGCGGUAGGGGAAACUGGAAUUCCCGGUGUAACGGUGGAAUGUGUAGAUAUCGGGAAGAACACCAAUGGCGAAGGCAGGUCUCUGGGCCGUUACUGACGCUGAGGAGCGAAAGCGUGGGGAGCGAACA
rnacentral:rRNA from 1 species